rnacentral:rRNA from 1 species
UGGGGAAUAUUGGACAAUGGGCGCAAGCCUGAUCCAGCCAUGCCGCGUGAGUGAUGAAGGCCCUAGGGUUGUAAAGCUCUUUCACCGGUGAAGAUAAUGACGGUAACCGGAGAAGAAGCCCCGGCUAACUUCGUGCCAGCAGCCGCGGUAAUACGAAGGGGGCUAGCGUUGUUCGGAUUUACUGGGCGUAAAGCGCACGUAGGCGGACUUUUAAGUCAGGGGUGAAAUCCCGGGGCUCAACCCCGGAACUGCCUUUGAUACUGGAAGUCUUGAGUAUGGUAGAGGUGAGUGGAAUUCCGAGUGUAGAGGUGAAAUUCGGAGAUAUUAGGAGGAACACCAGUGGCGAAGGCGGCUCACUGGACCAUUACUGGCGCUGAGGUGCGAAAGCGUGGGGAGCAGACAGG